UACGAAGGUGGCUAGCGUUACUCGGAUUGGCUGGGCGUAAAGGGCGCGUAGGCGGUUCGUACAGUCAGACGUGAAAUUCCUGGGCUCAACCUGGGGGCUGCGUUUGAUACGUGCGGGCUUGAGUUCGGAAGAGGGUCGUGGAAUUCCCAGUGUAGAGGUGAAAUUCGUAGAUAUUGGGAAGAACACCGGUGGCGAAGGCGGCGACCUGGUCCGAUACUGACGCUGAGGCGCGAAAGCGUGGGGAGCAAACAGG
rnacentral:rRNA from 1 species